rnacentral:lncRNA from 1 species
AUUUAUAUAGAGUGUACAUACCAUAACUAACCCCCGAUCCUUUAGUCAAGUUUAAGGUCACUAUGUGACCUCCACAACCUUUUUAGAAUCCAAAAUAUCUAGGUUUAAUUUAAAGGGGGUAAUUCUUGUAUUCUCUUUGCAAUUUAAUUAGAAAAUCUACAUUGUUUUUCCUUCCAACAGAAUUUACCUCAAACUCAAUGGGUUAGAGCUGUUGAGCCAAUAUCACUAUGAGUAGGAAUUAACUCUAUCAACCUCCAAAUCCUUCUUUACCAAGAUUCUUAACAUCCAUCAACAAUGCUAUAUAUGAUAAUUCAUAUAAGCAUCUCAUGACCGAAGUCUCUACUCAAUAUGACAUUUAUUAGUGGCUUCAUCAACAAUGACAAAAGAUCCCUGCUCAAAUCUUAAACCUAGGCUUGAGUUUUAAAUUAACACAUCAAAUAGUCUUCUACAAUUAUAAGUAAAAUCCAGUAGCCCAAUCCAAAUAUGAGAAUUCAAAUAAUUAGAAUUCUCCCAUCAAUAUGCAUACUCUAUGGCCUCAAAAUAAUCAAAUACAUCCAUAGGAAAUAGACCUAUUUGCAAUAUCCAAACAUGCCAAUACCACAUAUAGAUUCACC